AUCAUGGAGAGUUUGAUUCUGGCUCAGAAUGAACGCUGGCGGCGGGUCUUAAGCAUGCAAGUCGGACGGCAAGGGAGUGCUUGCACUCCCCUAGAGUGGCGGACUGGUGAGGAACACGUUGGUGACGUACCCUUUGGAUGGGGAUAGCCGGUAGAAAUACCGGGUAAUACCGAAUAAGGUCGGUGGUCUCGGAAGCCACCGAGGAAAGCAGCUUCGGCUGCGCCGAAGGAACGGCCUGCGUCCCAUCAGCUUGUUGGCGGGGUAAAAGCCCACCAAGGCAAUGACGGGUAUCUGGCCUGAGAGGGUGAGCAGACACAUUGGGACUGAGAUACGGCCCAGACUCCUACUGUAGGCAGCAGCUAAGAAUAUUCCACAAUGGGCGAAAGCCUGAUGGAGCCACGCCGCGUGGACGAUGAAGGCCGGAAGGUUGUAAAGUCCUUUAGCAAGUGAGGAAUAAGCGGGACAGGGAAUGGUCUCGUGGUGACUGUAGCUUGAGAAUAAGGGUCGGCUAAUUACGUGCCAGCAGCCGCGGUAACACGUAAGACCCUAGCGUUAUUCGGAAUUAUUGGGCGUAAAGGGCACGCAGGCGGUCUGGUAAGUUUGGAGUGAAAUUACGGAGCUUAACUCCGUAGCUGCUUUGGAUACUGCUGGACUUGAAUCAGUGAGGGGUGACCGGAAUACCUAGUGUAGGGGUGAAAUCUGUAGAUAUUAGGUAGAACACCGGUGGCGAAGGCAGGUCACCAGCACAUGAUUGACGCUCAGGUGCGAAGGUGCGGGGAUCAAACAGGAUUAGAUACCCUGGUAGUCCGCACAGUAAACGAUGCACACUUGGUGUUCGCUCUUAAGAGUGGGUGCCGUAGUUAACGCUUUAAGUGUGCCGCCUGGGAAGUAUGCCCGCAAGGGUGAAACUCAAAGAAAUUGACACAUUGCCGCGAGACAGACCUUACAACUUUC
rnacentral:rRNA from 1 species